UACCUGGGAUCGAAUUCACAACCGUGCACUUGCAAAUCAGGUCUUGAAUUUAUGCUUCUCAUCAAUUUUAAGUUCAUUUUUUAUGAUGUGGGAUCAGAAUCUAAUUUCACUCUUCAUUAUAUGGGUAUCUAUUUUCCAGCACCACAUACAGCCAAGAAUUUUCUUCCUCUAUUGUAUAUUUUUGGCAGCUUAGUUGCAAAUCAAUUGAUGAUAGCACUAAGAAAAAAAUAUGUGAUCAUAACAAAAUAAAAUGCUUCUGCACAGCAAAAGGAAAUGAUCAAUACAGUGAAAAGAAAACCUAUAUAAUGGUAAAAAAAACUUUGACAGCUAUUCCUAAGAGAGCACUGAUAUGUAGAAUUUAUGAAGAGUCCAGGGUGGGGGCACAUGCUUUAAUCCUAGCACUGGAGCUAGUGAGGCAGGAGGAUUGCUGCAGGGAUCAGACCUGUUUGGACUAUGUAGUCAAUUCACGGGCACCCUGGACUGAACACGGAGACUCUGUAUCAAAGAAAGAAAGAAAGAAACCCUCAAAAUCUAGUACUGCAAACAUGAACUAAUAAAAAUAAACAAACUUCAA